GCCUGGAAUCCAGGCGGGCUAGCCUUCGUUCCACCUAGCUGGGUCACGUCGGUUACUGGGAUAGUGUCGCCGUACUACACCGCACGUCGCAGCAUCCAACAAUUGAUGUGGGCACAGCACAGUCCUCUUCUCGUCCCAUCACGAGCUGCUCUAUCCGUGCUGGUUCUCUCGAGCGCCUCUCCGGUCUCCACUCCUCCCUCUCUCUCUGAUCCUUAAACCCGAUUCGCCAGCUUCGUCGUCGCCGACCAGGCCGACGUCGGGCCCGGCGCGCUGCUGUUGGACUGCCUCAGCCCGCGCUACCACGGCACCCGGGCGGCGGUGAGCGCGCAUGCAGGCACGCACACUACGCCGUCGUCGACCUCGCGCUCGACACGCUCGCCGCCGCACGCUCCUUCGGAGUGGAGGAGCUCCUGCUGCUCACCCAGUACAUGGACAAAUCUCGAAGAGGGAAGCAUUCGAUUCGACCAAAGGCUUAGGCAAACUGUGCCACUGUCAUCAGACGGUCAGAGUGUGUGAAGUGGAGGGAUGUUAUCGUUCCCUAUGGCAAGCCAGUGCCAUCAUCAGUUACGAGCUCUGAACUCCUGCACAAUCACUACAACGUCUACAACGCAUCCCAGGUCCAUCGUAUGAACUGCAGAAAAGGAUUUACCUUCCUGGCAACCCACAAGUACCUGGGUUUAUCCUUCUUAAUCUGAGUUAUUAAAACCUGACCGAGUUUGGGCGCCUCCCCGCACUCCACGGAGCUUCAGCCAGCGCGCGUGCGACCCUUGGCGACUGCUCAAAUUGGGCAAACUUUUAGAAAUGAGGUUUGUGUUUUCUAUCACAUUUCUACAAAUGGCUACUACUAAUUGCUGUGUUAUAUGACAUUCCACUCAAUUAUGGCAUGUCUCGGUCGCUGCUUAUUCAGUGCCUCAAAGGUUAAAACUUACUGACAAUUUUUUUCUUUCCAAUUUGAUAUAUUCCUUUUGUUCUUUUGUUUAUAUAUGCUUGUUACCCUGGAUGGAAUUGUAAGCUAUUACACUACUGCUAUUUACAGAGAACUGUUAAUAAUGAGACACUUGGUCACUUACUGUUGUGCAGCUUC